rnacentral:lncRNA from 1 species
GCCCUACAUGGCAUUACGGAUCUGGGACAGGAGGAUCGGCCCCCCAUGGCCUUGAUUUGUUCAUCUGUCAAAUGAGGGGACUGAACCAAAAGAAGUCCAAGGUGUCUGACACUCACCUUGUUUCUGACAACCUUCACCUGCUCCCUGGCUCUGAACACCCACCGAGUGGCCACCUUUGUCUUCAGGAUUCACCCUCACCUUGCCCAUGGUCCUGUGGCUUCUUUUUUUACCCCUAUUCCUUCUCCUGGCCCUUGGAGGAAGGGGCCCGCCUUUCUCCUGGCGUGAUGGAGGGUGGGUUCAACAGCGUCUUGAUGAAGUAACCUUGGGCAUAUCCUGGCUCUGGGCUUCAGUUUCCCCUGCUAAGCCCUCUCUGUCUUUGGGGGAGGAUAGUGAAGAACCCCAGAAUCUAGGGGUAGCAGGGGCCUUAAAUGGCACUGGAUUCAACACCAGACCCAAUGCUUAAGGCCUCCACCGCACCCAGGCUAUGCUUGCAUACCUCUGGAGGGAUGGGGAGCUCCCUGCUUCCCCAAGCAACCCACUCUGUCUGUUUGCUAGACAGCAGUGAUUGUGUCUAACAGGGAUCACACAUAGUGGCUGGCACUGAGGCUCAAAAAUGAACAGGAGCAGGGUGGCACAGAGGUAAGGACCUCGUUUGGGUUUGAAUCCUGACUGUCUUCACCUCAGACUGGCUGUGUGUGGCCCGUGAGAGUGACUUAACCUAACCAAACCUCGGUUUCUUCAUGGGCAGAUGGCAGUAAUGGUACCUGCCUUGCAAGGUUGUUGGAAAGGUUAGUGCUAUGAAAACCAAACAUCCCGGCACACAUGAGUGUUUGUCUCAUACCAGGCUCAUUCAUUCUCAGGGAAUAGGUGCUAUUGCCACCUGCAUGUGUUCAGAUGAAUUGUUUAGAGGCACAGAGAGGUUAAGGAACUUGCCUGAAGUCACACAGUGACUGUGACGGAUAGAGACCAGACCUGGACCCAGGCAUCCUGUGCCCAGGCCCCUUGUACCCUCUCAGAAGGCAUCCAGCUCUGUGCCAGCCCAACUAUCUUCUCACGAUGGUGUGGGCCUGAGUGCUACAUGCUCCCUGGGCCCCAACAUCCUUUUAGCCUCCGUUGCUCAGAGGACAAGAAGGGCUCAGGGUUUUCCGUUGUUACUUCCAGCUCUGUCCCAACCAUAUCAUUUCAGAUCCAGAGGACGAAGGCUCUGAGUCCAGCCAGAACCCUGGGGUGUGUAACCUUAGGAGGUUUGCUAAGGAGACCAGCAUGACGAGCCGGCUGGAAUCUGAGCUCUCUGACCCCCACUCCUGCCCCUACAGCCACUUGGUCCCAUGGGGUGUGGCUGGACAGAAGCCAUCCUCUUCCUUCUGCUCUGUCCAACUGGCUUCUACCGGUAGGUGACAGGGCAGUGUUCCCAGCAGUGGGACAAGAGGCACUGGCACCAGGCCAUGAGCCAUGCAUUCCUAGCUCUGCAGGGCAUGCAUGCCACGCGGACUGUGACAGUGAGCUCUUCCAGGCCCCCAGUGAGCCUGAGAGGGGGUCUGGGAAGAGUCAAGAGACACCCAGACAGUGCCAUGUGGCAGUGAAGCCUCUGGUCCCAAUCUGCCAGGGUGCAAAGCCCCAGGACUGCUGGUGGGAUGUUGGCACUACCCCGUUUUCCUUUUCCAGCUACAACAGAAUGGCAGAGAGGAAAGGACCCUCCGGGAUCUUCCAGUUCAGCCAGCCCAUUUUACAGAGGUGGAGACUGAGGCCAGAGCCCACCUUGCAGAUGAAGAAAGUGAGGCUCAGAGAACCAGUUUCCCGAGGACACCUGGCCCCACGGCGUGCCUGAAUCCGGGGCACGCGCUUCCUGCUUUGGCACACUACGGCUCCUUUUCAAAACGAUGUUUGUGAAAAUUAGUCUCAGUAAAGACAGCUAAGAAGGAUGGGUUGGGAUGUUUUUAGCUGCCUGUAAGCCAGAUAAAAGGUUCUGUUGUUGCAAAAAUGCUUUUCUUGGGUAUGCUAUAAGCAUCCGUUAAUUUCAGAAAUUAUCCAGCCUCACUAAGUAGAAAUGAUGGGUGGCUUUUCGAA